rnacentral:sRNA from 1 species
AAGAAAAUGCCCGAAAAU